CGCGUCUUUCUGGGUUGGAAGAAGGGUCUGGAUUACAUCCUGGUCCCACGACCACCCCCACCCCCACCGUGGGCCCAGCACCAUCAGAUGGGCUGACCUUCCUUAAGCCCUCCUGGGGCUGAGGACAGAGCCCUGUGGGUAAGGAGACCUUGAGGAGCUGGCAGCUGCCAUUUCUGUGGUAGAAAGCCAACCCCACGGCCCCCCAAGGCCUUCCUUCAAGCAUCCCAGAAAGAAGAUUAUACAAAUUGAUAGAAAGAUCCCAUAACAUGUAUCAACCUUAUCGACAAGGCUGGGAUAGGAUAUGAGGUGAGAAGAAUCCAAUUUCAACCAAGUAGGCGAAUCAAAAAAUAUAUAUCAUCUUAAUACUGGUUUGUGUUUAUCCUCCACACUACGGGCGAAGAUAUCUUUGACCAAUCCUCCAUCGCAGUAUGCUCCUUCUCAUCCAAUGUCACAUCACCAGGUUAACAGAUAUGGAGAUCUCCACCAAAAUUUGGCAAAGAAUCCCAAUGCUUACUAAAACUCUGGACUAGAUAUCUUAGGAAAGGUAAAGAUGC